UUUUUCACCAAAUGCCCCUGAGGUUUACUUUAAUGCACCAAAUACCCCUAAACUUUCCAAAAUGCACCAAACACCCCUGACGUAUGCAAUAAUAUCAUUAAAUGCCCUUUUGUCUGACGGACGUUAACCCUCCGUUACCAUGUUUUUACCUUGUUGCCCUUACUUGUCCUUUCUGGCGCCAUAUCAAAAAAGAAAAAAAAAAAAAAAAAAAAAAAUUCAAAACCUAACUUCCCAACUUCUUCCUCGACAUUUCUCUCUGUUCUCUUACACCAUUAGAGAGCACUUGAGUACCAAACCAAAGAGAGAGAAAGAUCGAAAUUCGCUGGGAUUUGUGUAAAACAACUCGCAAUAGUUAGUCGAAGUAAAUCCCCACGAAAAGAUCGACAAUUUGGUCCAAAAAUCUGCAGUUUUCGCGAGUCCUACAAAAGUGGGUGCAAGGAGAGCAAAGGACUGGAAUUUGUGGCUUCAACUUCAUCAAAAUUGUGUCAAGGAUGGUCGCAAUUUGGUUGUUAUGUCAUUAUAAUGAUCGGAAUUUUGAUGUGAGGGUACAAGAUACUGAUGAAACGAACUACAUGGAUUUGGUUGAUGACUUGUUUGAUGAUUCUAUUAAGCAAGAUGUUCUGAUUCCCGAUUUAUUUAGAUUGUUUUAUGUUAAUCCUAGUACGAAUAAAAGAGUAGAAUUGUUGAA